UGAGAAUCACAAAUGUUGAGUGCGCGAGUAUUAUAAAAAAAAGCUGACAUGGACUAUUCCAACGGUAAUAAACCAAAUCCCAAGUUAUUUUAACCCCUUUCUCCAUUGUUCUCUUCUCCCAAGCCCUAAAUUUUCACCAUUUCAACUGAGCUAAAUUCUUCAUCAUAGUGAAAAUCGGAGCUUUUUUUUUUUUUCUCAAUUUGAAAGAACUCCAUCCUCCUUAGUCAAAUUCUUUCCGUAAUCUUUCCUGCUAUCUUCUCUUAAUUUCGGGUUGAACAAUGUCCCAAAACACCGAAAAGGUUAACUCUUGUUGAUGUGGUCAUCCGUGUAAACUAAAAAUUUCAUGGAGUCCAGCUAACCCAGGAAGAAGGACAAUGGUGAAUGUAAAUAUUUUAGAUGGUUUGAGGACGAGUUUCCUGAGCAAGAGAAUAGAGUUAUUUGGGGUUUGUUGAAGAGAGUGAAGGCCUUUGAUCAAGAAAGAGAACGAGCAAAAAAAUGGAGGAACGCACUAGUGUUUGUUGUCUACUGAUGGCCUUAAUCAUUUGGCUUUAUUGUGGUUCUUGCUCUUGUUGAUGGGAACUGUUCUAUUCGGCUUUGGUCUUUUAUGAACUUUUGGGAAAAUUAUUUGUAAUUUAGGCUAGCUAAUGUAGUUAGUGUCUUGUGUUGCUUCUGUUUUGUUUAUUGUUGCUGCACUUCGGAUGGUUGGGAUCCUAUUUUGUGCAAUUGAUAUUGUCUUAUUAAUGCAAUGUAUCUUUGUUUUUAUUAAAAAAAAUUGCAAUUCUUUAGUGUUUACUGU